UAGUAGGGAAAGGAAACUGGACGACCUUCGGGAGCUUGUACAGGUGCUGCAUGGCUGUCGUCAGCUCGUGUCGUGAGAUGUUCGGUUAAGUCCGCUAACGAGCGCAACCCUCGCUGUGUGUUACAAGUGUCACACGGAACUGCCGGUCAUAAACCGGAGGAAGGUGGGGAUGACGUCAAGUCAGCAUGGCCUUUAUAUCCUGGGCUACACACACGCUACAAUGGGAAGGGACAAUAGGUUGCGAAGCCGCGAGGCGGAGCCAAUCCAGCAAAACUUCCCUCAGUUCAGAUUGCAGGCUGCAACCCGCCUGCAUGAAGUUGGAGUUGCUAGUAAACGCAGGUCAGCCAUACUGCGUUGAAUACGUUCCCGGGGCUU
rnacentral:rRNA from 1 species